GCAGCAAACACUGACGACAGUGCAAAGAUAAUCCACAGGCAUGGGAAGAUUAAAAGAAACAGAAGGAGGGGAGGAAUGGAACCCACUCUCGAGGUUUCAUGACUGGCCAUUGUUCGGCAGGCCAAGGACCCGGCCUAAGAGUUCAGCUCGCUUUUGGAGGCCUAGGAUCUUGGGGCUCCGGAGGCAGGCAGAUUGAAGGUUCCUCACUGAACAAAGCAACACAGAGAAUCAGGACCUGCUCCACCAUUCAACAUGAUCACAGCUGAGCGUCCCUUCACCGCCACAUCCCCGACGUUCUUCCCGGUUCCCUUGUUUACUACCUUCUUCUCACGGAGGGUGGUGUGAGUGUGGAUCGAGCUGCCAGCAGAAGUGGUGGAUCAGGGUUUGCUUGUAACAUUCAAGAGAGGCUUAUUAGUUAUUAUUUGCAUUUGCACAGAUGCUUGUCUUUUGCAAACUGGUUGCUGACCUGUCCUGUUGCCUUCUUUUAUUGAUUCUCUUGAGCUUCUUGGUUUUACCGUGUAUGCCCACGUGAAAGCGAAUCUCAGGGUUGUACUGUACGUGCUGACAGAUAUGUACUUUGAUAAUAAAUUAACUUUGAGCAUUGAAGUAGACCAAAAUCUCAUCCUUAAUAAUGAACUCCAAACUCCAACAUGACAUGGAACAUAGAACAGUGGAGCUGAAUCUCUGUAAACCUCUGAGAAAGUAGGGCCGCUGUUGCGUUGUGCUGUGUCUGCUUUGUGAUAGCACUUGCAUGCUGGACUCAGAACAGGUUCCCUGAUCUGGUGGUGCUAAGGAAUUUAAAGUUACUGACCCUCUCCACGUCUGAUUCUCUAAUGACGACUGGCUCAUGGGUCUUCACCUUCUCUCUCCUGUAGUCAAAAUUCAGCUCUUUGGUUUGGCUGAUGUUCUGUACAGGGUUGUUGCUGUGGCACCAUUCAACCAGACUUUCAAUUUCCCUUCUAUACACUGAUUCAUCACCACCUUUGAUAGGGCCAACGACAGCGGUGUCAUCAGCCAACUUAAAUGUACUUGGCCACACAGUCAUAGAUUGUAUGUAUAGCCAAGGGCUAAUCACCCAGCCUCUAGUGCACCUGUGCUGAUGGAGGCGAUGUUGUUGCCAAUCCGAACUGACUGGGGCCUACAAAUGAGAGGUCUCGGUGUUUAGCAAUGAGUUUUGAGGGGUGUUAGUGUUGAAUGCAGAACUGCAGUCAAUGAAGAACAUGCUGAUGUAUGCAUCUUCACGUCCAGAUGUUCCAGAACUGAGUGAAGAGCCUAUGAAAUGGCAUUUGCUGUGGACAUUUUAUGUGUUGUUCAAUAUUCUGCAUUCUGGACACCUGCUCCCUUGAUUUGUUUCUGAGGGAAGAACUGACGGGAUGGCAUGGAAACAGAAACCUUUCACGGUGUCUUGAUACGGUGAUGAUAUAAUCAGAUGUCCAUGAGGAGAGGUCAGAGGUCAUCUGAAGUAAGAAUAGAGGUCCUGACCUCCAUUGCUGUGAACUCGUUUCAGCAAAAUCCUGCUAUGCUGAGAAUAUGUCCUUAACUUGUUCAAAGGGGGGGCAUUAUGGGAUGGCACAGUAGUGGAGAGGUUAGCACAUUGGCUUUACAGUGCCAGUGAUUGGUGAUCGAUGAACAAUUCUUGCCACCGCCUGUGAGGAUUACGCAUAUUCUCCUCAUGAUAUUUUGUGUUUCCUCCGGCUGCCCUGGUUUCCUCCCAGGGUUAGGUGAGUUGUGUGCGUGCUGGGUUGGUCCAGAAGCUUAACAACACUUGCAGAAUGCCACCAGCCCAAUUCUCGCUGAUUUGGUUUGACGUAAACAAGGCAUUUCAUUGUAAGUUUCAAUGUACAUAUGACAAAUAAAAUGAA